AUUUUCUAAUAAGUGGAGAUAUUUAUUAGAUCUGACAUUGAUUGAGAGCCCACAACAGGGUUUGGCUGAGAUAAAUAAAAGCUGCCUCAAAACCCCAACCCUGCAGGGUUUGUACCCAGGUGUGGGUCUUUCUUGGAAAUGGUGGGUUCCUGUCAUUUCAGGACUGAUCUACAUCUGUAGUACUCAAGAGCAGAUCAGCCUCAAGGGUGGUUCUCAGGGAUUCAUUAUCUGGCUCUUUUCAUUAGAGAGUAAUUUUAUGGUCGUCUGUGUGAAGCAAUAAUGUCCACUUGAAGGCUUAGUGCAUUUCCUCACUUCUCAUCUGAUUCUGCUCUUUGGCAGCAGAGGAUGCUGUGAAGCUGCAGAAGCUCUGGGAGUAUGAAGGGAAGGAGAUCUCUGAGCUGGACUCUUUUCUGCCAUCAUCUGGAGGGCAGGAUCUUUUUGAGGCCUGUGGGAGGACAGGAUGUGCCAGGAGACCUGAACCACUGGUGAUACAAGCGAGCACAGCAUCUGCUGUUUCAAGGAGAGUGCUGUGGCUGAGGGAGAAGGGCACUACCAUCCUUAUGGGCUGUGCCACUGUAGCCGUUUAUACAGACUAACUGUAAUGUUCGCUGUUAUGAAAGUCCACUCUGAAGCCAAAAUACACACCCUUACUUCUUCCCUGGAAUAAUCGUACAGUUCGCUGCAGUCUUCAAGAUACAAAAAAUCAGGGAAUCUCACAGUCUA